AGUCCCCGUAGUAUAACAAAUAAUAAAUUACACCAGCCUUGUAAACUAGAAAUGAAAUAUACAUUUCCGAGGACA
rnacentral:tRNA from 1 species